AUUGAACGCUGGCGGCAGGCCUAACACAUGCAAGUCGAACGAGUGGCGGAAGAGUGAGUAAUGUCUAGGACACUGCCCGAUGGAGAGGGAUACCUACAGCAAACGGUAGCUAAUAAUACCUACCAUCGGAACUGCCGCGAUGGGAUUAGCUAGUAGGUGAGGUAACGGCCUACCUUGCCGACGAUCCCUAGCUGGUCUGAGAGGAUGAUCAGCAACACGGGAACUGAGACACGGUCCAGACUACUACGGGAGGCAGCAGUGGGGAAUAUUGCACAAUGGGCGCAAGCCUGAGGCAGCCAUGCCGCGUGUGUGAAGAAGGCCUUCGGGUUGUAAAGUACUUUCAGCGGUGAGGCGUUACCCGCAGAAGAAGCACCGGCUAACUCCGUGCCAGCAGCCGCGGUAAGAC
rnacentral:rRNA from 1 species